GCCAGACUCCUACGGGAGGCAGCAGUGAGGAAUAUUGGUCAAUGGGCGCGAGCCUGAACCAGCCAAGUCGCGUGAGGGAUGACGGCCCUACGGGUUGUAAACCUCUUUUGCCGGGGAGCAACGGGCGCCACGUGUGGCGCCACUGAGAGUACCCGGAGAAAAAGCAUCGGCUAACUCCGUGCCAGCAGCCGCGGUAAUACGGAGGAUGCGAGCGUUAUCCGGAUUUAUUGGGUUUAAAGGGUGCGUAGGCGGGUCGUUAAGUAGGGGGGCAAAUUGGGGGCCCCACCCCCUUCCCGCCAUUGAAACUGGCGCUCUUGAGUGGAAGAGAAGUAUGCGGAAUGCGUGGUGUAGCGGUGAAAUGCAUAGAUAUCACGCAGAACCCCGAUUGCGAAGGCAGCGUACCGGCGCCGGACUGACGCUGAGGCACGAAAGCGUGGGUAUCGAACAGGAUUAGAUACCCGCGUAGA
rnacentral:rRNA from 1 species